AUGGGCGAAAGCCUGAUGCAGCAACGCCGCGUGAGUGAAGAAGGCCUUCGGGUUGUAAAGCUCUGUCUUUUGGGACGAUAAUGACGGUACCAAAGGAGGAAGCCACGGCUAACUACGUGCCAGCAGCCGCGGUAAUACGUAGGUGGCGAGCGUUGUCCGGAUUUACUGGGCGUAAAGGAUGCGUAGGUGGAUAUUUAAGUGGGAUGUGAAAUACCCGGGCUCAACUUGGGUGCUGCAUUCCAAACUGGAUAUCUAGAGUGCAGGAGAGGAAAGUGGAAUUCCUAGUGUAGCAGUGAAAUGCGUAGAUAUUAGGAGGAACACCAGUGGCGAAGGCGGCUUUCUGGACUGUAACUGACACUGAGGCAUGAAAGCGUGGGGAGCAAACAGGAUUAGAUACCCUGGUAGUCCACGCCGUAAACGAUGGGUACUAGGUGUGGGAGUUGUCAUGACUUCCGUGCCGUCGUUAACACAGUAAGUACCCGCCUGGGGAGUAC
rnacentral:rRNA from 1 species